rnacentral:tRNA from 1 species
CUCGGUAUGGUGAAAUUGGUAGACGCGACGGUUUUAAGCAUCGUUGGUACAUUGAAUGGCUAUGGGGGUUCGAGUCCCUCUACCGAGA